rnacentral:rRNA from 1 species
CUCCCUGGCAUCAAGGUGGACAAGGGUACCAUAGAGCUCGCUGGAACCAACGGUGAGACCACCACCCAGGGCUUUGAUGACCUUGGCAAGCGCUGCGCCAAGUACUAUGAAACUGGUGCCCGCUUCGCCAAGUGGCGUGCAGUCCUCAAGAUCGGCGCCACUAAGCCAUCGCAGCUCUCCAUCGACCAGAACGCUCAGGGUCUGGCUCGCUGUGCCAUCAUCUGCCAG